UACGUAGGCAGCAAGCGUUGUUCGGAAUUACUGGGCGUAAAGAGUGUGUAGGCGGUUUUCUAAGUUCGGUGUGAAAUCUCCCGGCUUAACUGGGAGGGUGCGCCGAAAACUGGAAGGCUUGAGUGCCGGAGAGGAUAGCGGAAUUCCCGGUGUAGCGGUGAAAUACGUAGAUAUCGGGAGGAACACCUGUGGUGUAGACGGCUAUCUGGACGGCCACUGACGCUGAGACACGAAAGCGUGGGUAGCAAACAGG
rnacentral:rRNA from 1 species